CUAUCAGCUUGUUGGUGGGGUAAUGGCNUACCCAAGGCGACGACGGGUAGCCGCCCUGAGAGGGUGUCCGGCCACACUGGGACUGAGAUACGGCCCCAGACUCCUACGGGAGGCAGCAGUGGGGAAUAUUGCACAAUGGGCGCAAGCCUGAUGCAGCGACGCCGCGUGAGGGAUGACGGCCUUCGGGUUGUAAACCUCUUUCAGCAGGGACGAAGCGCAAGUGACGGUACCUGUAGAAGAAGCACCGGCCAACUACGUGCCAGCAGCCGCGGUAAUACGUAGGGUGCGAGCGUUGUCNGGAAUUACUGGGCGUAAAGAGCUCGUAGGUGGUUUGUCGCGUUGUUCGUGAAAACUCACAGCUCAACUGUGGGCGUGCGGGCGAUACGGGCAGACUUGAGUACUGCAGGGGAGACUGGAAUUCCUGGUGUAGCGGUGGAAUGCGCAGAUAUCAGGAGGAACACCGGUGGCGAAGGCGGGUCUCUGGGCAGUAACUGACGCUGAGGAGCGAAAGCGUGGGGAGCGAACAGGAUUAGAUACCCUGGUAGUCCACGCCGUAAACGGUGGGUCU
rnacentral:rRNA from 2 species